UUGCUCACUUGGGCAGCACAUAUACUAAAAGUGGAACGAUACAGGGAAGAUUAGCAUGGCCCCUGCACAAGGAUGACACGCAAAUUUGUGAAGUGUUCCAUUCUUUU
ensembl:snRNA U6 U6 spliceosomal RNA